GUAGGGGGCAUGCGGGAGAGCACCCACGAGCCCAUUUCGGCGUUCAAGUGUCACCCAAGCCUGAAUGGUGACAGUAUCACCCUCUUGGAUACCUUCUUCACCUUCUGUUUCACAUGAGAUAGUAACUGUAACAGACGGCAUCAUUUCCAGCACAGUUUCAACAUCUUGUACUUCAGCAGGCGAGAACCCACCAACCUGAGCAAGCAGCUCGGCACGCUCUUCUUGAGCCAGUUUUUGAAGAUCCUCAAACGCUCUCACUUUCUUGCGGGCUAU
rnacentral:misc_RNA from 1 species